UACAGAGGGUGCGAGCGUUAAUCGGAAUUACUGGGCGUAAAGCGUGCGUAGACGGUUAUUUAAGUCGGGUGUGAAAGCCCCGGGCUCAACCUGGGAAUUGCAUUCGAGACUGAAUAGCUAGGGUACGGUAGAGGGAAGUGGAAUUUCCGGUGUAGCGGUGAAAUGCGUAGAUAUCGGAAGGAACAUCAGUGGCGAAGGCGGCAUCCUGGACCGGCAUUGACGCUGAGGCGCGAAAGCCAGGGGAGCAAAGCGGG
rnacentral:rRNA from 1 species